rnacentral:rRNA from 1 species
UACAGAGGUCUCAAGCGUUGUUCGGAUUCAUUGGGCGUAAAGGGUGCGUAGGUGGGAAUGUAAGUCAGUGGUGAAAUCUCUGAGCUUAACUCAGAAACUGCCAUUGAUACUAUGUUUCUUGAAUUUUCUGGAGGUCAGCGGAAUAUGUCAUGUAGCGGUGAAAUGCUUAGAUAUGACAUAGAACACCAAUUGCGAAGGCAGCUGGCUACAGGGAUAUUGACACUGAGGCACGAAAGCGUGGGGAUCAAACAGG